UAUCAUGUCAAGUUUUCAUUCUCAGAAUUGGAGGAGGGUCUUCGUGGGAGGUAAUUGAAUCACGGGAUUGGAUUUCCCCCUUGCUGUUCUCAUGAUAGAGUUUUUAACAAGAUCUGGUUGUUUGAAAUUGUGUACCACCUCCUCCUUCUCUCUCUCUGUCUCCCCUUCUCAGGUCAUGUGAUGAUGUACCUUCUUCCUCUUCAACUUUGACCAUGAUUGUAAGUUUCCUGAGGCCACCCCAAAAGCAGAAGUCUGAACAGCCCACAGAACAGGAGCUGAUUCAACCUCUUAUCUUUAUAAAUUACCCAGUCACAGGCUUUUAGGCAGAAGGGCCUUGUGUUGUUCAAGAUGAGACUUUGGAUUGUGAACUUUUGAGUUAAUGCAGAAAUGAGUUAAGACUUUGAGGGACUGUUGGGAAAACAUGAGUGUGUUUUGAGAUAUAAGAAAAACAUGCGAUCUGGGAGGGGAUGGGGCAGAAUGAUAUGGUUUGGCUCUGUGUUCCCACACAAAUCUCUUUUUGAAUUAUAAUCUUCAGUGUUGAAAGAGGGGCCAGGUGGGAGGUGACUGAAUCAUAGGGGAAGACUUCUCCCUUGCUAUUCUCAUGAUAGAGUUCUUAUGAGAUUGAUUGUUUGAAAGUGUGUAGCACCCCUCACCCUUAUUUGACCACGGAAAGAUGUGCCUGCUUCCCUUUCACCUUCUGCCAUGAUUGUAAGUUUCCUGAGGUAUCCCCAGCUGUGCAGAACUAUGAGUCUGCGAGUCAAUUAAAUCUCUUGUCUUUAAAUUAACCAGUCUCAGGUAUGUCUUUAUAGCAGUGUGAGAACAGACUAAUACAGGGCCUGUACAAAUUUGUAUUGCCAAAAGAUUUGUAAAUAAA
rnacentral:lncRNA from 1 species